GACAGAGGGGGCAAGCGUUGCUCGGAAUCACUGGGCGUAAAGGGCGCGUAGGCGGGAUGGCAAGUCAGUCGUGAAAUCUCUCGGCUCAACCGAGAAGCGUCGGCUGAUACUGCCGUUCUUGAGGGAUGCAGAGGAGACUGGAAUUCCCGGUGUAGCGGUGAAAUGUGUAGAGAUCGGGAGGAACACCGGUGGCGAAGGCGGGUCUCUGGGCAGUAACUGACGCUGAGGAGCGAAAGCGUGGGGAGCGAACAGG
rnacentral:rRNA from 1 species